GACGAACGCUGGCGGCGUGCUUAACACAUGCAAGUCGAACGGAAAGGCCCUGCUUUUGUGGGGUGCUCGAGUGGCGAACGGGUGAGUAACACGUGAGUAACCUGCCCUUGACUUUGGGAUAACUUCAGGAAACUGGGGCUAAUACCGGAUAGGAGCUCCUGCUGCAUGGUGGGGGUUGGAAAGUUUCGGCGGUUGGGGAUGGACUCGCGGCUUAUCAGCUUGUUGGUGGGGUAGUGGCUUACCAAGGCUUUGACGGGUAGCCGGCCUGAGAGGGUGACCGGCCACAUUGGGACUGAGAUACGGCCCAGACUCCUACGGGAGGCAGCAGUGGGGAAUAUUGCACAAGGGGCGGAAGCCUGAUGCAGCAACGCCGCGUGCGGGAUGACGGCCUUCGGGUUGUAACCCGCUUUCGCCUGUGACGAAGCGUGAGUGACGGUAAUGGGUAAAGAAGCACCGGCUAACUACGU
rnacentral:rRNA from 1 species